GGGCGUGUGGCGUAGUCGGUAGCGCGCGCCCUUAGCAUGGGAGAGGUCUCCGGUUCGAUUCCGGACUCGUCCA
rnacentral:tRNA from 2 species